UAGAAUCUUUGUAGAGUUCUUUGUAGAAUCGAUCGCCUGUAAUCAGGGUUGAUAUUGACAAUAUUUAGCAACUGUUGCGGCUCUCUACUGUGUCUGCCAUUAACCCUGUGGAUGCUGGACUGUGAGGCUGGGCUGGGGAUGGUCCUGGGGUGGGACUCAGUGGACAGGGUAGUGUGGGGAGGAUUGAGAUGGGGACAUUCAGGGAAGUGACUGUGUACCAACCAGUGCAGAAGGAUCAACCAGGCUGGAAGAUACAGUCUCAAGGCUGAAGAUCCGUGUGUCAUCAUCAACUUAGUCUAUUGCUCCUGGAAAGAGCCCACAAACAAAUAUGCUCUUAUAAGCAAAAAAUCUCUUCCUGGUAUGGUUCACGGCUCUCCAAGACAUAUUCCUUGUCAGUCGGAUUCAUGCUAUUAUCCUCACUCUCCUCCUGGCAGUCAGGUUGUGUUGCUGAAACUAUAAACACCGCAAGUCUGGAGAUAAGAUUUAGUCUUAGCUUUUGAGACGCCAUGAAACUGACAGUACUGGUUCUGAUUAUGUGCAAAAACUGGAUUCCAACUGCCAAGCAUUUCUUUCUCAACUUCUGAUUAGCUGCAACUUAGUAGUCAUUCAACCUUGAAUAAAACAAU
rnacentral:lncRNA from 10 species